rnacentral:rRNA from 1 species
AGAGCGAACGCUGGCGGCAGGCCUAACACAUGCAAGUCGAGCGCCCCGCAAGGGGAGCGGCAGACGGGAGAGUAACACGUGGGAACGUACCCUUUGGUUCGGAACAACCCAGGGAAACUUGGGCUAAUACCGAAUAAGCCCUUACGGGGAAAGAUUUAUCGCCAAAGGAUCGGCCCGCGUCUGAUUAGCUAGUUGGUGAGGUAACGGCUCACCAAGGCGACGAUCAGUAGCUGGUCUGAGAGGAUGAUCAGCCUCACUGGGACUGAGACACGGCCCGGACUCCUACGGGAGGCAGCAGUGGGGAAUAUUGGACAAUGGGCGCAAGCCUGAUCCAGCCAUGCCGCGUGGGUGAUGAAGGCCCUAGGGUUGUAAAGUCCUUUCGGCGGGGAAGAUGAUGACGGUACCCGCAGAAGAACGCCCGGCUAACUUCGUGCCAGCAGCCGC